rnacentral:rRNA from 1 species
CAGUCGCCGCGGUAAUACGAGGGGGGCAAGCGUUGUUCGGAAUUAUUGGGCGUAAAGGGUGCGUAGGCGGUUUGGCAAGUUUGGUGUGAAAUCUUCGGGCUCAACUCGAAGUCUGCAUCGAAAACUGCCGGGCUUGAGUAUGGGAGAGGUGAGUGGAAUUUCCGGUGUAGCGGUGAAAUGCGUAGAUAUCGGAAGGAACACCUGUGGCGAAAGCGGCUCAUUGGACCAUAACUGACGCUGAUGCACGAAAGCUAGGGGAGCAAACAGGAUUAGAUACCCCGGUAGUCCCUGUCUCUUAUAC